rnacentral:lncRNA from 1 species
UUUGGAUCAAUUGGUGGUGGUAGGAUUUUACUCCGAUCAGGGUUCAACACAGGCGUAUGAGGAUCCGGACAGGCAACAAGCCAGCCGCCGCCAACAGGUACGUUCCAGUCUGCCGUUCACUUAUUACAGACAAGUAUUUAUGUGCUACAGUAAUAGACCUAGUUCACCCAUGGGCCUCCAACGUAUUUGGCAUUGGGCUUCUUGGUGCGUUUGCUUCUCUGCGCUUUGGCUGCAGCCUGGUCGUCGAUCUCCAGUGGCACUGUCUUCUGGGCCUUGGUGACAUUCCUUCCCCCUUUAGAAACAGCUUGACCCCAAGCUGGAGCGUACGGGAACGCUUGCUUGAUAGCUUCUUCAUCCUCCCAUGUAGCAAGUGAUUCUGGCCAUUCUGACCAUUUCACUAGUACCUGCGAUAUCACCUUGGAGCCCUUCUUGGUUAGCCGUGAAUCAAUCACCUGUUCAGGUACCUGUAGCUCAUGUGACAUAUCAGGUAACUCCGCACAUAAAGGAACAUGUUUGCCUAACACAGGUUUCAGUUGUGAUACAUGAAACACGGGGUGGAUGGCGCUGCCUGGCGGAAGUUGCAACUCGUAUGCCACCUGGUUAACCUUCUUCACAACCUCAUAAGGUCCAAAAUACCGAAAGGACAACUUGUGGUUCAUUCUUGCCGUGACUGAUUGUUGGCAGUAUGGUUGGAGCUUCAGAAACACCCAAUCUCCCACUUCAAAGUUUCUCUCCACUCGUUUCUUAUCAGCCUGCUUCUUCAUGCGAUCCUGGGCUCUCUGUAAGUGCAUUUUCACUUGCUGCAUUGCUUGCUGCCUGGUUUGGAGCAAAUCCUGCAGAUCUGGUACUGAACAUUGGUCAGCUGAUAUCAGUCCAAGCUGUGAAGGAGUAUGACCAUAAAGAACUUCAAACGGUGAUUUUCCCAGCGCGGUGUGAUAACAUGUAUUAUACCAGAAUUCUGCUAGGGAUAUCCAGGAAUACCAUUGUCGGGGACAGGAUUGCACAAAGCACCGCAGAUAAGUCUCCAGACACUGGUUCACCCGUUCCGUCUGUCCAUCAGACUGCGGGUGGUAAGCACUGCUCAUACACAAUUUGGUGCCUGCCAAAGUGAAUAGUUCACGCCACAACUUGCUGGUAAAAACAGGGUCUCGAUCUGAGAUGAUAGAGGAUGGUAAACCAUGCAAACGAUAGACCUCCUUCAGAUAUAGCUUGGCCACUGACAGAGCAGAAAAUGGGUGGGCCAAAGCUAGAAAAUGGGCAUAUUUUGAAAAUUUAUCAACCACUACCAUGAUACAAUUGUAGUGAUGAGAAAUAGGUAAACCAGAUAUAAAAUCCAGACUUACUACCUGCCAUGCCUGCUCUGGUAUAGGUAAUGGCAUCAAUAAACCAGGAUAGCGACCUCUUUCCGCCUUGGCCUACUGGCAGAUUAGACAGGUUUGGACAAAGGUCAUCACUGCUUGUUUCAUUCCUGGCCAGCUGAAAUGAGCCUUUAUGCGUCUGUAUGUAACUGGAAAUCCCGAGUGACCACCCACUGCGCUGUCAUGUAAUGCAGCCAUCACUUUAUGUUGCAUAGAUUGGUUUGCACCCAGCCACACCCGAUCCUUGUACAUUAUGAUCCCUCCUUUGUAGGUGAAGUCUCCCACAGCCUCCCCAGCAGUCAUUCGUCUUAAUAAGUUUGUGGCAUUUUCAUCAGCAUCAUACCCCGCCCUCACUUCUUCUAGCCAUCUAGGUACCACUGUCGAUACUGAUAUGCUAUGCAACUGUGCAUAUGGUUCAUCUUCUGUAAAGUUCGGACGACGAGAUAGAGCGUCGGCUACCUUAUUUUCCACUCCUUUCUUGUACACAAUUCGGAACUGCAAGCCCAGCAGUUUGGUGAGGGCCUUUUGUUGAAGCGGAGUAGAUAUCCGUUGGUCAUCCAAGUGAGUCAAGCUCUUUUGGUCUGUUUUGAUCACAAAUUCACCGUUCUAGAGAUACGGUCGCCAAUGCUCAACAGCAAAUAGAAUAGCCAAACAUUCUUUCUCGUAGGUCGACAAGCCCAAAUUCUUAGGACCUAGUGCUUUGCUAAUAUAAGCAAUGGGAUGUCCCUGCUGUUGUAACACAGCUCCAAUUCCGAGUCCACUGGCAUCAGUUUCAAUAGUGAAUGUAUUGGUAAAAUCUGGCAAGGCUAACACUGGUGCCUGGGAAAGUGCCAUCUUCAAUGUAUCGAAUGAUCUCUGGGCUUGAUCAUCCCAAAGGAAGACGGUAUCUUUUUUUAAUAAAUUUGUCAGAGGCUUGCUGAUGAUUCCAAAUUGAGCCACAAACUUCCUAUAAUAUCCUGUCAUUCCUAGGAAGCUGCGCACAUCCUUGACACAGGUGGGUCGUGGCCAUUCCAAUAUGAUCUUUACCUUGUUCGGAUCGGUUGCCACUCCUGUUGAGCUGAUAACAUGGCCCAGAAAUUCUAGUUUCUCCUGUCCGAACAAGCAUUUAGAUAACUUCAAUUUCAAUUGAUGUUGUCUCAGCAAUUUAAAAACCUGUUCCAGAUGCUCCACAUGCUCUUCCAAACCUCGGCUAUACACCAGCACAUCAUCAAGAAAGACCACCACACAUUUCCUCAACAAAGUAGACAAUACUUUGCUCAUAAAAUCCUGAAAGGUAGCUGGUGCCCCUGUUAGACCAAAUGGCAUUACCCUGUAUUCAAAGUGCCCGUGGUGUGUUUGAAAUGCCGUUUUAUAUUCCUCACCCUCUUUGAUGCGUAUCUGGUGGUACCCAGAUCGAUGAUCUAGCUUGGUAAAAAUGGUUGACCCACUUAGCUCAUCCGUGAUUUCAUCAAAUAAUGGCAUCGGGUACCGAUUCUUGACGGUAUAGGUGUUUAACCGUCGAUAAUCCACACACAUUCGCCAUUCUCCGUCUUUCUUCUUGACCAGGAGGACAGGGGAGGCAAACGGGCUUGAACUGGGCUGAAUGAUUCCGUUCUCUAACAUCUCCUUCACCUGUUUCUCGAUUUCAGACUUUUGCUGUGGGGUAUACCGAUAGGGCCUCAACCAAAAUGGAAGUGCACCUGGUAUUAGAGGGAUAGAGUGAUCGAUGGACCUUUUAGGUGGCAAUGCCUUUGGUUUCUGGAACAGGUCCUGAUAACGACCCACCAGUUGUUCAAUCACCGGGGGUAUUCCUGAAUUAUCAGUCUGGGUUGCCACUCGGAUUUCCAGCAGCUGUUCCACAGCGUCCCGUUUGACCAACCCUCUAAGUUGUGUACUUGAUAGCUGCCUGCAACUUCCCAGUUGAGGUUUGAGUCCUUGCAGAAGAACUUCCUUUCCAUUAUGUAAAAACUUCAUCCAUUUGUCAGCCCAAUGCACAGCCAUAGGACUGUAUCCUUCUAACCAGUCCAUUCCCAAUAUCAUGUCGUAUCCACUGAGUGGCAACACCUUCAAAUCCAUGUGAAAUGUUAUUCCCCCACAGAGCCACUUGCAAUUAGGAACCCAAUGCUUACUCCACAAUAUCCUUCCAUCUGCUACCUUCACCCGAAUUGGCCUUGGUAAUUUUUGCACCGGUGAUAUUGUUCCCAUUAGCUUGUUGCUCACGAAACUUCCAGAGCUACCUGAGUCCACUAGAAUUAACACCUGCUGUCCACAAACAGAUGCUAGCAGCCGAAUUGUUCGAUUGCCUUCGCCUCCACUAACCGCUGCUGCAGAUAUGGCUAGAAUCUCUGCGUCCUCCUCGUUUUCAUAAGUAUUUUCCAACUCCUCAUUGCCGUCACUUUCUUCAGUUGCCUGUGCCAUAGCCCACAUCUCCUCCACCACAUGUAAUGGGACAUUGGCAGAACACCGAUGACUCUGACUCCACCUUUCCCCACACUUGAAGCACAGACCCUUAGCCCUCCUGUAGGCCUUCAGUGCCGACAAUUUACCGUCAUCUGUUCUCGGGUUCAUGGUGGUCCCACCUCGGCGGUCAUUUGUGGAUUGAGCAUUCCGACCACCGUUUACAUUUGAAUUAGAUCCCGGCACCGGACUGAAUCUUCCGGUUGGUUUGGAAAAUCCUCCACCCUCCAUCCUCCGACUCUCCUUGCUUCCAGUGCAGAUCAGCACAUCCUCCUGCAAUAGAGCAAGGGAGCAAGCAGUAUCCAAGUCUGACGGACGCUGAAUAAGAAUUACAGAUUUAAUCUCAUCCUUAAGCCCAUCAAUGAAUCUAGCAGUGAUCAUGGAAGAUGUAAGCUGAUUUUCGUGUGCUAAAAGCUGGUGCAUUAAGAUAUCAAACUGCUCUACAUAGUCCACUACAGAGGUGAUCUGUUUAAUGUGAUAGAAUUGUCUUAUCAGCAGAUUAUGUUGAUCCCUCCCGAAACGUGUGACUAAGUGGGUACAAAACUCCUCCCAGUUCAUCUCCCUGAUUUUAUCUUCCAUGGACUGAACCCAGAACACGGCAGGACCUUCAAAGUACAUGAUCGACAUCCUAAUCCAUCGCUCCCUAGGCACCAGAUAAAAUUCGAAAUAGGUCUCACUUCUAUGCUUCCAGAGCUUAGGGUUUGAACCAUCAAACAAAGGAAAAUUCAUGCUAGGUCCUACAGACCCUAGACCAGACCCUUGAGACCACUCCCCCAUAGACUGACGCCCUUCCGAUUCCCAGCGAAACUGAUGUGGAGUAUUGCUUGGAACCGUACCUUUGACCGGAGGGGGUGUUCGGACCUCAUCGGUCCUGGCACCCGGUCUCCGGUAUGGUUCAUCCUUGCGGUGGCCUGUUUGCCCGUGCAUCGCCUCUGUGGAGGAAAAACCACGAUGAGCGGCUCCCGAUGCACCAUCCGCCUGAUGAUGCUCGCGCGCAGUCGGAGGUACGAAUUGAUCCACCUUGGCUUGAAUCGCCGCGAGCGCCUCCCCGAUCUGCGACACCUUGUGCUCCACUUCCGGGCGCCACUUCUGGAAUUCACCUUGCUCCAUCAGCACACUUCGCACCGUCGUUUCCAUCCCACUCAUUGACACCUUCAUCUCCUCCAUCCUUCGAUGGGUCUCCCGGUUGCCUUCCUCAAUCCGAGCAAGGAUCUGAGACAUCGGGUCAUCUCCUUUCGGUGGCGCCAUCUCUUCUCCCUUGGUCUGCAACCUCGUCCGGUAUCCGUGGGGCGGAUCCAGAUUUGCCUCUGAUACCAGAUGUUAGCAACACAAUCACAGAGACUGGAAUCUGCUUUUGGAUCAAUUGGUGGUGGUAGGAUUUUACUCCGAUCAGGGUUCAACACAGGCGUACGAGGAUCCGGACAGGCAACAAGCCAGCCGCCGCCAACAGGUACGUUCCAGUCUGCCGUUCACUUAUUACAGACAAGUAUUUAUGUGCUACAGUAAUAGACCUAGUUCACCCAUGGGCCUCCAACGUAUUUGGCAUUGGGCUUCUUGGUGCGUUUGCUUCUCUGCGCUUUGGCUGCAGCCUGGUCGUCGAUCUCCAGUGGCACUGUCUUCUGGGCCUUG